rnacentral:sRNA from 1 species
UGUUAAAAAAAAGGUUUUAGCGAAAAGGUCACACAAAAAAACGUGAGUAAUCAAUUUUGAUGUUCCGUUGAAUACUGCUGGCUAACUAAGACUCUAAGCUCUGCCGACAUAAUUUUAUUUAGUUUUUAGACCUUGCUUUUAUUGUAUUGUGUAUAAAACAAAAUUUAAACAAAAAAGUUCAACAAAAAACAGUCGUAGUGUUGUCACGUCCAUGUUGCGGGACAUGCUGCUCGUUUCUCGGCACAUAUAUAGAAUGUUGCCGCAACACUUGUGCAACGUUUUAGAUGUAAUACGCAGCACUUUAAGUUGCAUUUGAAUUGGAUUAUUGAUUUAUUUAAAUUUUAAAAUUUGCCUACACUACAUUUGACUCGUGCGUUAUCGGAUUGGACAGUGUUACCCCGUGGAAAAUUUCCGAGCGCGCACAAAUUCAAAAACGCGCAGAAGCGGUUUGGGGUUCGAAUUGUGUCUGAAGCAGUGUCUUUUAUGUAAUGCCAUCCUUGUCUUUGUUCUACAUAAAUUAGCUUAUAUGUUACUACUA